rnacentral:rRNA from 1 species
GACAGAGGUGCCGAGCGUUAGGCGGAAUCACUGGGCUUAAAGCGUGUGUAGGCGGACUUCUAAGUACCUUGUGAAAUCCCCCCGGCUCAACCGGGGGAACUGCUUGGUAUACUGGUUGUCUUGAGCCACUUAGGGGCAGUCGGAACAGACGGUGGAGCGGUGAAAUGCGUAGAUAUCGUCUGGAACGCCAAAGGUGAAAACAGAACUGCUGGGAGUGUGCUGACGCUGACGACACGAAAGCCAGGGGAGCAAAGCGGGAUUAAGAUGACCCCUGUAGUCCCCAGAACCAAC